rnacentral:lncRNA from 1 species
CAGUAGCAAGACUCAGAGCCUCGGCCGUAUAGAUAGCAGAUGGAUCGGAGAUGGUCAUCGUCUUCCAAUGAUCGACUCCGAUGUGAAGGUCAAAUUGUAUUAGGCUAUUCUUGGCGUCGUAGUUUCCGUACAUGAAAGUUGCUCUGACAAGAUACGUAGUGUUACGAAGCACAGGCUUUAAGGUGUAGCAAUUCCGGAGUCCAUCAGGAAAGCUUCUGAGAUUGAGUUGUUGCGUUGGAAGAGAGGAGUUUAUGUAGUUUGAUUGGAUGUCGAAAUCUGAUCCCACGUCGAUAAAUCGGUCAUCGGAGACGUAUGUUAUAUUUGUACUAUGAUCGACGUAAUCAGAUUUGGAAUUGCCACAGUCGAUGCUUAUAAAGCCAGCUAAAAAGAAAAGAAUCACAACGAUUAAUUGCAAUCAGUUCAGUAUUGUUUAAUACCACGAGCAUGAUAUUAUAUCUAUAUUUCUCCCUUUACUAUAAACUAAUUAUCUAAAAAAUGAAAGGCGAUCGCCGUGAGCGCUGACCUUGCGGCGACUGGCCAUGAGCAGCAGGAAUGGCGGCGGCGAUGGCAAAGAAAAGAGCAACCAAGCACGAAGAUGAUGAUGCCAUGUUCCAAGUUCCAAGUGUCGUUGCUGAGUUCUAUCGGUGAUUUAUAUUCGGUGGUGGAGGCGUUCGUUAACGUAAGCACAUCGCAAUCAAAAGAGAAAAAAACCUCGUUAGUUGUAGCUACGUGAGCACAUCGCAAUCCAAACAGUUCACGUUUUAUCGCAACGCGAGCACGUGGUUUGUCCACGUGUAUACAGUGACUGGGUCCCGCUUUGCACGGAUUCUUUGUAAGAGCCGCACUGGCUGAGAGCGUGCUCCUCAUUUCUUAUCCGACACCCAAUCCGGUCAACCCUAAAUCAUGUAAUCGCGUCAACGGUGGAAUGGUCAACUGGGAAGAUGACCUGCUUUGUCGACGCAAGACUUGUAGGAAAUUAAAUAGAAAGGAAAAUUACUUUUCUGAGAUAGCAAAUUUUUUAUUAUUUUCUUACGACCUCGUAUGAGAAUCACUUCACCUAAAUAUAUAAACCAAAAGUCAUAUAUAUCAACAUGUGAUUAUUAUUAUUGAUUGAAAAUAUAAGAUCAGCUAAUCAUCAUUUGUCAAGUCAAUAUCAUAUCUGAUCUCUUAUCCAUAAGGGCUGGGUCCAAAAGACAGCUCGAUUCAAUUUUGGAGCUGUCAAACUAUUAAGCUUUUGAGUUACGGAGAUGCUUCUUAGAAAGAUCAAAAAUUAGUUCAGAUCAAUUACGAAUCAGCUCCAUUAUGAAAUAUCCAUAGGAAUAUUUCAAAAAAAAAAAGGGACAAUAAAGAUCAGUUAUGAAUCAGCUCUCACAGAAGAAUUAAAACAUUAUAAAAAAGAUCAAGGGACAAUAAGGAACAAUUUUUCUAACAGUUUGUUGCAGACACAAAACUUCACCAUACACAAAUGUGGCACAGUAUCACAGAGACAGUGCAGAGACCAAACUUAUUACAUGAUGUAUUGAUGUUCUAAUCCAUUAAAACGGAGAUAUCUGCGGUCCGGUGGGUUUUCAGAUUACAGCAUAUUGUUUCAUUGUUACCUAAAAGAGAUACAGUAGUGCAUAGAUUACACAACACCAAAUUCUAUAUUUAUUCCGAUGCAGAGAUCCCCAGGAGGAACAUCCUAUUUUGUGGCAGUACGAGUGCCAACGACAGUUACAAGCACUACAUCUUACCUUAACGUGCACAACAUACACGAACAGAGACAACUGCGAUAAGUUUCAUCUGAUAGAAGGAACAGUUGGUCCCAGCAAGCUCGCCCCCAUCUCAGACGAAAUUUCUCGGCUCAUGUUAAAUCCUUCAAUAUAUAUGAUAUCGCUCCUGUCAGAGGCAAUCUCUGGCUUCAAGCAGCUCUUCAGCUGCGUCACUACUUCAAACAUUGUCGGCCUCUGGCUGCCUGGAUCUGCGGUGCACCUGAGAGCUAGAUCCAGGAUCUUCCACGCAGAAGUGGCAUCAUAUUCUCCUUGCAGAGUUUCAUCCAUGAUUUCUUCUAUGCAACCCCGAGACAGACUUGUGGCAAUCAACUUAACAAUGUGAACAUUUCCUGGACCGGGCACGAUCGGAGGUCUGCCGGUGAUCAGCUCCAGGAGAACUACACCAAAGCUGUACACAUCACUCUUCUCGGUGAGCUGGUAGUUUUGAUGGUACCUAAUGAAACAUAAACAUGAUACUCAUUGGUCAGUUGUAAUCCAUAAUGUAUUAGUUAUCCUCUAUGGUCGAGCACACUAAUGCAUAAUAAAUGUCUGCCUUUUGUCAACUAAAGGUUCAAAACACUCCAAGAAGAGAAUCAAAUUGCCAUCUUGGUUAACCAGAAAAAUGGAGAUCCAGUUCAAGGCCAAGGAGUAGUAAUUUGAAGUUAUGGCAAGGAAAUGAAUCCUACUAUGUUGCUUUGGCAAUUGAACUGACUAUUCCUCAAACCUGCAAACUGGAUCUGGGAAUUAAAACAUGGCAGCUCAGGAAGUCAUAGAUCAAGAAUUCUGCUAUCUGACAUUCAAAGAUCUCCACAUAUCCAUGUUGAUCAUAGUGUUUGAAAUAUUAAAUUUAAGAAAAAAAAAACCAUAUUUAGUUCAAAGUUCAAACCAAAUACUGAUGUCUCAUCCAAGUCCAAUAGGUCAGCUGCAUCAAGUCAAACUAGUAUCAUAAUAUAUCUAGAAUUAUGAAUGUAUAGCAAAAGAACAUAUUGAGGACAUAAAACCUAAGUAUGAAGAGAUCGUAAUACCCCCAACUAAUCUUACCUUUGAAAAAUGAUGAUGGGUUAGAUUAGCAUGGACCGAUUUUAUAGGGUAACUACUAAAAAUUUAGCAUGAAGUAUAUUCGGUUACAUAGUUAAAGUUUAAUUCUUUUUAGAUCACUAUACCAGUGGGCCUAUUAGAUUGGGUGGUGACAGGAAGACAUACUAAGAUAAAUGAAUUCAUUUUCCAUCUUAUUUUUCUGCACAUUGUCGCUUCUACAUUGAGAUGUAUGAAUAAAUUGUUUAUAAAUAAUUUAGAGUGGGGUAAAAAGAGUGUAGAAAACAUACUCGGGAUCAAUAUAUCCAGGGGUGCCAACCACUGUCCCUGUGGACACAUAGGUUUGCUCAUCGCUAUGGAAAGAUUUGGAUAACCCAAAGUCCCCUAUUUUAGCCUCUAGUUCUUCGCUCAAGAGAAUGUUGCUGCUCUUGACAUCUCUAUGGAUUAUUGGAGGCUUGCAUCCUUUGUGCAAAUAAUCCAGCCCUGUCAUAUAAAAUAGAGAUUAAGUAAUUAUACCAAACGCAAGUACACAGACAAAAGAUUCUCCAAAACCUUGUGCAGCAUCCAGUGCAAUUUGAAGCCGCUGUCCCCAACUCAAGACUUUGGCACAACCAGCCUUAACUGUGAUGAUUAUAAGUUAGAAAACCCAUGGAGACAACUUUAACAAAAUAUCAGCAGGAAAUAUCUGUGGAGAAGUUACUUCUUAAACUCAUAGUUACUUGCUGCAUAAUUUCUAAGAUACCUCCCUCAACUGAUGUGUUUCAAGCAAUGAGCCAAGAGAUAUAUUAAUCUUCAACAGUCUGGUAUACCCUAUGUCCCUAUCAGCCCCUUAAAAAAAAUGAUUCCAAGUAUUUUACCCCUUCCUAAUCAAGAAAAGUUGAACAUUCGACUUCAAAUUUAACUAACUUUGUAAUGAUCCUCCAAGUCCCUAAACUUCUUUCUCAAUCAUUGUGCAUAAUAAAAUAAUAUACAUUAAUCAUUUAAUAGGAAAGCAGUGAAGCCUCAGGAGGAGAACUAAAUAAUGUCCUUUGCGAUUCAAAAUUGAACUUAAAAAAUAGUUGUUACAGUCUUCAUGUUCAGCAUCACUAAACCUCGUAGAUGGUCUCGAAGGCUUCCUUGCUUCAUGUAUUCGUAAACAAGAGCUAGGCAAUUCCCAUCCAUGCAAUAACCAACCAGAGAAACCAGAUUCCUGUGGUAGAUUUUCGUCAGGUUCUGGGCCUGCAGAAUGAAGUGCAAAAUGUUGUCAAGAAAUAUUCUAAAAAAUAAAUUGUUAUAUGGAAUAGCUACAAGCUAUGUAAGGUAGCAUUCUGACAUCAAUACCAAGAAAGAUGUAAGCUGAAUUAACCUUCAGCUGUUUAAAAGGAUUGUUUUGGCAUCUCAUCUUGGUUAGCAUCAAUACCAACCUUUUCAAUUCAGGAGUGUUAAGACUAGCCAUUUAAACUUUCGAGAUUUGUGGUAACUUAAUCGAAAUCUUGGUCAUGAUGUAAGAACAUGUUAUGAGUUUGAAGCCUAUACUUGCCCCCUUUUUUGUUUCUGUUAGUUUGGCAAGUCUCAUAGUCCCACAUCGGGAAAAUCAGGUUUGUUAUCUCCUAUUGGAACUAUAAAUAAGAGUCUGGACUUUGAAGUCAGAUGCACCACAAGAAAAACCUAAGUGUUUGCUUUGGGUUUAAGUCCACACUCAGUUAAAUAGUUUGGGCUUAUAGUUUGAGUUUUUCUUGUUUAAUAGAUUUGGGUGUUUUAUGGCCUAAGAACAUCUUCCUAAGGCAUUUGUAAUAGUCUCUCUUUUAUAGUAGUGAUUUGCUCCUCUUUCCUCCGUGGAUGUAGGUCAAGGUCAAUUGACCGAACCACGUAAAUAUGGUGUUUUUGUCACUUUUAUCUUUUCGCUUUAUUAUCUUUGUUGGGUUGCCAAAAUUACCCUUUGGUAAAUUUUCUAGGGCUAGCUCUAACAAACUGGUAUCAGAGCCUGGUUUCGGAAUCUUUUGACAACGAUGACAAUAACAAAGAUCAUUUUCGAGAAAUUUGACAGAAAUGUCAACUUCGACAUGUGGCAACUCAAGAUGGAGGCCAUUCUGGUUCAAGACGGAGUUGAUUUGGCACUACAAAGAGCUGAGAACAUUCCAGAUGGUACGUCAAAAGAAGAUCUUGCAGGUAUGGAUAAGAAGGCCCGAUCCAGCAUUAUUCUAAAUCUCUAUGACGAGGUUUUACGGGAGGUAGCUACGGAGACUACGGCUAAGAGCAUGUGGGACAAGCUUAAAGCCUUGUAUAUGAAGAGGACAGUAGAGAAUCGUCUCUACUUAAAGCAGAGUUUGUAUAUGCUUCGAAUGACUGAAGGUACAUCUAUACUCUCACAUCUUGAUAAAUUUGAUUCCUUGGUUAUGGAUUUGGAGAAUAUAGAUACAAAAAUUGAUGAUGAGGAUAAGACCCUAUUACUUUUGUGUUUUCUUCCUCAAUCUUUUAAGUAUUUCCGUGAUACUAUGAUUUAUGGAAAAAAAAUAAUUUCGUAUCAAAAAAUUAAAUCUGCACUAAAAUCUAAGGAGCAGAUAGACAGAGAUAUCAUUGGGGAAAGUAGAGGAAAUCAGGCUGAGGGUCUGGUUGUUAGGGGUAGAAUGGAUAAAAGAGAAUUUGACAAUAGAAGAUCUAAAUCUAGAUCUAAAUUCAGACAUAGAAAUUUGGAAUGCAUAUAUUGUCAUAAAAUAGAGCACAUUAAGGCUGAUUGCUUUAAAUUGAAAAAUAAAUUAAAGCAAAAGGAAAAAAUUGUUGAGAAAACUAUUAAGUCUGCUGAAGCUAGUGUAGCAGCUGAUAAGAAUGAUGGAAAUAUUUUCUUUGCUACUGAUAACAAGACGAGGUCUAAAAAUGAAUGGAUUUUAGAUUCGGGUUGUUCUUAUCAUAUGUGUCCUAAUAGAGAUUUGUUUUCCACAUAUGAAUCUUGUAAUUGUGGAAUUAUUUUGAUGGACAAUAAUGCAGCAUGUGAUGUUGUUGGUAGAGGAACAAUCCGAAUUAAAAUGCAUGAUGGUAUUGUGAGAAUGCUCACUAAUGUUAGACAUGUUCCCGAUUUAAAAAAGAAUCUCAUCUCUUUAGGCACCCUAGAGGCCCUUGGGUGUAAAUACACAACUGAAGGUGGAGUUAUGAAAGUUUCUAGAAGUGCCCUUAUUGUUAUGAAAGCUUGUAGGUCUGGUAGCUUAUAUAUUUUGUAGGGAACUACUGUCACAGGCUCGGUUACAGUCUCGUCAUCAUCAUUGUCUGAUUCUGACAUCACCAAAUUAUGACAUAUGUGUUUGGGUCAUAUGAGUGAAAAAGGUUUGAGCAUAUUGAGCAAAAGAUGUCUACUUUGCGGACAGAGUACUGGGCCACUGGAUUUUUGUGAACACUGUAUUUUUGGAAAGCAGAAAAGAGUCAGCUUCAAUUCUCCGACAGUUCACAAAACAAAAGGUACUCUUGACUAUAUUCAUUCAGACCUUUGGGGUCCAGCUCAUGUUCAGUCUAAGGGUGGUGUUAGGUAUAUGUUGACUUUCAUUGAUGAUUAUUCCAAGAAAGUUUGGGUUUAUUUUUUGAAGCAUAAAAAUGAUAUUUUUUUAACCUUUAAACAAUGAAAGGCUUUGAUUGAGAAGCAAACAGGUAAACAGAUUAAGCAGCUUCGAACAGAUAAUGACAUGGAAUUUUGUGAAUGUGACUUUAAUGAAUUCUGCAAAAAUGAAGAAAUCGUUCGGCAUCACACUGUUAGGAUGACGCCUCAACAAAAUGGUGUGGCCGAACGUAUGAACAUAACACUCUUGGAGAGAGCAAGAUGUAUGAUCUCAAAUGCAGGGUUGACAAAGGACUUUUGGGCAGAGGCGAUUACUAUGGCCUGUUACGUUGUCAACCGCGCUCCUUCUGCAACACUUAACUUUAAAACUCCGGAGGAAGUUUGGUCAGGUACUCCUACUGAUUACUCUGAUUUAAAAAUUUUUGGGUGUCCAGCAUACAUGCAUAUAAAUAAAGGAAAAUUAGAGCCUCGAGCUAAAAAAUGCAUUUUCCUUGGGUAUACUUCUGGGGUGAAAGGAUACAGAUUAUGGUGUUCUGAUCCCAAAUCCCCAAAAUUUAUAAUCAAUAGAGAUGUUACUUUUGAUGAAUUGUCUAUGUUAUCUUUCAAAGAGGAAUCUACUAGUUGUAUAAAUGAUAGUGCACAGAAGCAGGUGGAGCUUGAGAUUUGUAGUUCAGAUUAUUUUAAGUCGAACUCUUCUACUCAAAGAAUGCUAAUAGAUGGUCCCGAUUCUACUGAUGUAGAUAAUCCAGAGGAAGAGCAAUAUUCCAUAGCCAAAGAUAAACCACGGAGAAAUAUUCGACCACCACAAAGAUAUGCAAAUUUGAUUGCAUAUGCUUUGUCUGUUGUAGAAGAAACAAGUGAAGUUGGUGAGCCUACUUCCUACUCAGAUGUAGUUUCUUGUGAUAAUUCCGCUAAGUGGUUGAUUGCGAUGAAUGAAGAAAUAGAAUCUCUCCUUCAGAAUAGAACUUGGGAUCUUGUGAAGUCGCCUUCGAGUAAGAAAAUUGUUGGAUGCAAAUGGGAUACUAUUGCUGAGGGAAAGGUUCUUGUUCAGAAAAUUCAUACCAAGGACAAUCCAGUUGAUAUACUUACGAAGCCUCUUCCAGUUUACAAAUUCAAGCAGUGCUUGGACAUGAUUGGUGUUCAUUGUUUGUGAUUGUCCGUUGAGGCUUUUAUGAAGAAUGUAGAGCAAGUUUUGUUUGGACAUGCUAAGGUGGAGAUUUGUUAGUUUGGUAAGUCUCAUAGUCCCACAUCAGGAAAAUCAGGCUUGUUAUCUCCUAUUGGAACUAUAAAUAAGGGUCUGGACUUUAAAGUCGGAUGCACCACAAGAAAAACCUAAGUGUUUGCUUUGGGUUUAAGUCCACACUCAGUUAAAUAGUUUGGGCUUAUAGUUUGGGUUUUUCUUGUUUAAUAUUUUCGGGUGUUUUAUGGCCUAGGAACAUCUUCCUAAGGCAUUUGUAGUAGUGAUUUGGUCCGUGGAUGUAGGUCAAGGUCAAUUGACCGAACCACGUAAAUCUGGUAUUCUUGUUGCUUUUAUCUUUUCGCUUUAUUGUCUUUGUUGGGUUGUCAAAAUUACCCUUUGGUAAAGUUUUUGGGGCUAGCUCUAACAGUUUCAUCUUGUUCUUUAACUAAUAUUUGUGAAAUUUUUUACUCUGUAUUUGACUUCGACCAUACAUUUGGGUUCAAUUUUACAUGUCAAGUUUAAAUCGGGGAGAGAGGAACGUUAGACUUCAUGAAUAUAUUUGACUCUUUACUACCAACUUAAGGUUUUCGGGAUUUGUGACAACCCAAUAAAAAAAUUUUAUCGAGUAACAAUCACACUCAAGUCAUCUAAUAGUCUUAUUUCGAAGGUCAAAUAAAAUUUCUAUACCUCAGCCAAAAAUUCCUUCAUUCCUUGUGGUGAUGAUACAGAACGCAUCUUGAUCGCAACUUGCUUUCCAGUUUCCAAGCAACCAUGAUAAACCAUGCCGAAACCUCCUUUCCCGAUGACCGUUGUAAACUUAUUGGUUAUGUUCUCCAACUGUGUGUAUGUAAACUGCCUACUCUCAAAUGAAAUUUGAUGCUCUCUCUGCUGAGAGUAGACUACAACACUACGUGGCUGCACAGAGGUAUUAGAGGACCGACCUAUCAGAAAAGAACAAGAAGUUGACCAUUAGCACUCAAUGCAGAAUUUGAAAAUGACGGUGUCGUACACCAAGCUCAUUUUUUCUCUUCAAAUUAUUACCUUGCUGCUUUCUGAUGUUCCAUACCACAGUUACCAAUAUUACCACAAGAAGUAGCAGCCCAGACACUGCUGCAAUAAUUACAAUGAUAGCUAUUUUGGACCUUGAUGAAGAUGCUUUGUUACAGCCAUUUUUGUCAAGCCUGACAUCAAGAAUGUUUAAAAACUAUCGUCAGUUGAUGUAAGCUCCAUAUAGGCAGUAGGGAAAAGUCUGGCAGCAAUCAACACUUGUUCAGUUAUUGCAUGACAUUAGUGAAUAGAGCUAGAAGAUGGCAAGUGCACAACAUUAAUCCCGAUAACCCUUACUCUAAAUUUCACUUGUAAAAGGAGGUUCAAGACGACGAUCUUAGUAGACUCCAAAAUCAUAUCGUGAGUUUAACAAACAACCACAAUAACAACAAAGCUAAGUCUCAAUUAUUUGGGAUUGAUUUCAUGGAUCUUUUGCCGUCAUUCAAAUCUGUCAUAUAACGAGUUAAAUAUAUAAAAAAUAAUUUAUGCCACCCCAAUCAUUCUAACAAGCUAUAUUUCCUACCUUAGAAUGAUUAGGAAAUAUAACUAGCCUUUUUGUCAACUAAAAGUCGUUCACCAAACAUGCAAUUCAACUAGCCUUUUUGCCAACACUUUUUCACCAACCAACAAACAGAGAAAGAACACAAGCCUCUUUCAAACUGCAACACUAUCUGAAGAUCCAAAAAUUAUAAAAAUCUUUUUUGUCAAAAAAAUCUAAAAAUCAAUCAGCUUUAACCAGCUGUGUGUUUCAUGCCAAUUUUCGCACAUAAAAAAUUGCCAAAUCUUGUGCAUGAGUAUUUCAGUUGGUAUUGUUUAAUUUUAAAAAAUAGUUAAGCAUAGAAAUAACCCAUGGUAACAUUACCCCCCAAGUAACUCAGUGUUUCAAUUACAAGCCUAUGGUUUAAAGAAUUUGGUAAAUGGAUUAUGAUUUUGUCCAGUUGCAUAUUCUAUUGACCAUUUGUGCUUCAUUGCUCUAUUGUUUCUUUAUUUCUUUGUAAACUAUUUAUAUGCUUACCUUGUCCGUUGGGAAUUCACUCGAGUCAAUAAUAACACAUGGAAAGGAUGUUUGGGGUGGUAAGACAACAUAUUCACAUGAUGACCCAUUAUUCAUUAGCUUAAGAUUUUGCAUUGUGGCAUCCUUGUGUGUGUAUGUGCAUGAGCCUUCUUAUUGGUAGGAGACUUUGGGUCCGAUCACCCACCCCCGCGACAAGUGGCAUUAAAGCUCAUAUAUUGGUUUGUAUAGAUCAGUGCCAGACUCAAGAGACAUUAGAAUGUGAAAUGGCUAGUGUCUAGUUCAUGAGCCAAGUAAGAAGUCGUGUGUUCAGAUGUGAUUAAUUUGCUUGGUGAGAUAGGUUUGAUUUCUACGGUGUGAUUUAUUUGGAAGCCCAUAAUCCAUAACUUGUGGACAUCAUAUGGCUGACCCAUACAGGAAACCAUGAACAAUGUCUUGCACAUAGUAAAUUGAUGAGAUUGUCGGGUGUUCAGUUUGGAUUCAAGCGUUUGUUGGGUACUCAUUUGUGAUUAGAUAGAUUUACAUGUGAAAGAUAUGAGAUUAAGUAAAUUCAUUGUAGUAUGCACUUGUGAGUAUGGAAAAGAUAUUGAAUAUAUAUGAGACUUGCACAAAAAGGGGGUGGCCUAGUGCAUAAAGCUCUGGAAAUGCUAGAUUUGGGAGGAUCAAUGUACAUAGUCUUGCCCAUAUAAGCAAAAAGACUGUUGUUGAUGUGUGUGCAGUGUGUCUGGGAACCUCGCUGAUGUUCGCAUGGAACCUUCUAUUGGCAAGGGAAUUUGAGUAAGAUUCUGCUUCCAAGACUCUCAUCAUGUUCAAAUCAACACUCAUGUAUUCACAUCUAUAUUUUGUGCUUUACACAAGGCAAGCCUUAUUCCUUUCAGGAAGAAAUUUGCAUAAUGGCUUUCCACCAGGUACACAGUUUCCAUACAUUUCUGGAAGUGACUAAUUAGUACAAGGAAGCAACUUAGGUAAGACGAGACCAAUGCAGAAAUGGAGGAGAGUGGAAGUAAGCUUCAGGUACUUUAAUAGUUCCAUGGCAUAGAAUGUCUGAUAUGAAUAAUCAAAGUGGUAUAUGAUGCUACUGCUUUAUAAGAAGAAUGGACAACCUAUGUGACCACAUACAAAAGUACUUCUUGAUAUGAUCUAGAAUUCUGGUGAGUUCUGGGAGUGCCGUAUUAUGUUGGCACAAGUACCUUUUCACCAAGUAAGAUAUAUUUGGAAUAGUUUCCGUGGACAAAAGGAAUGCAGUCUGGUAGGAUGAGAACACAAUAUUUAUUGAUAUAAUCCCUAAAACAUACAUGAGCUUGAUAAAAAAAAACAAACCUGAGUGUAAGUAACCCAGCAUCUGACCUUUUGCAGAGUUUUUCAGGAACAGAUCCAUUGAAAUUGUUUCCUGCCAAAUUUCUGAAACAAUACAUUGCUCUUCAAUAUUCCUAUUUUUCAUCUAUGUUCCGGAUCAAAAGUUGAAUAACUUACAGAAUUUGGAGUGAUACAAGAUUUUCAAGAGAAUCGGGUACUGUUCCUGUUAAAUUGUUAAAAGACAAAUCUCUGCGAUAUAACGUAAAAAAGAAUCACUAUCAAGCAGCAAAAGUCCUUGAGAAUCAAAAAUUAAUCCAGUGAACUUGAAUUUUGUCAAGUGAUUGCUUGAAACAGCAUAAACUUUUGACGUUAAUCUUAUAUAUCAAAAGCCUGCAAAACUUUGAUGCGAAACACUUACAGGACAACGAGAGAUGAUAAACUGCCUAGAAAAUCAGGUAUUGCUCCACUAAAGUUGUUGUGAGACAAGUCCCUGGAAUUGAAAUUAUAUAUUGAUCAUUUAGUGCGUGAACAGCUCGACAUAACAACUGUGCUCUCUGCAUUACAUGAAGUCAACAGUCUACCUUCCAAAACUGAAAUCAUAAUUAAAGCUAACUGAUGAAUAGCAAGUUUUGCUGGAUAAAUAUACAACACCAUUCAGACCCGAGUGAUUCAUAUGAAGACAUGAUUUCCUGUUCAUCUAGCAUGGAAGGCCAUGCGUCUUUUUAGCUGUAAUAUUCUGAGCAAUACCAGAAGAAGGCUCUCGUACAGCUCCCAUGAGGUUAUCCAUAGUGUGGUCAAGAUAUGCAGCGGACUUGUACCCAUGAGGUUAUCCCUUUACAAAAAAUGCUUCUAGUGCUCUGACAUGCAGCGGGCUUGUACCCAUAAUGUGAUUGGUGUUGUCAAAGUGUAUUUACAUCCUUUACAGUAGCUUAAACCAUUCAUAAAGCCAUAUGUUCUUUAGCACAUGAAGCUUGUUUCUCACGUAAGAGCUUCUUAACAUGCGAACUGCAGUAAUUUAGCCUCUAGGUUUAAGUCUUAAAUGUACAGAUCAUAUCGAGAUCUCCAAGAAGCAUUCCGACCUUCUAUGUUGAAUAAUGCCUUUUGUAAAGGGAAUAGAGGCAAUAGGUAAGAUAAGCUAGUCAGUGUAAACCCACAAAAAAAUGCCUGCAACCAUUGAAUGACAUGUAAGCACCCUUUGGUGCACAGUUAUUAACUAGCUGAUUUAUGUUGCAAUGUAAGCAUAAGCUGUGUGUUGUUUUCUUUACUUGCAUAACUGAAACACUAAAACCAUUUCAAGAACACCUGUUAUAAUGUGGUUCUGCAUUAUGUGGUGGUCAUGCCUAUAGAGCCCCUUUUUCCAGCAACUGCUUAGAGGAUCACUUCCGUUUAGCCCAUGCAUUGUCUGAGAGAUUAACAACCGGACGAAAAUAGACAUCAUACCUAUCUAUUUCUUGAUCGAUAAUCAUUAUACUUUGUUGACCAAGUUACGACUGGAACAUCGGUAGAAAAAAGUUGUCAUAUAAUGUGAGACAGCCUAUGUUGAUUUUUAUUACCGUACACAGAUUUUUGCUAGCCUUCCCUGAGAAUCGAACAGCGGACAUUAAACUGGUAUGGACCAGGAGAAUUAGUUACUAAGUAAGCAACUGUAUAUAUCUUACUUGCACUCAUGCAAGAACUAAAUUUUAUAAAGGUAGCAUCGAUAUUGAUCAGAGAAAUUAACCCAUGGCACAUUACUGGUAUUGGCUCAGAUAAUUAUUUGUGACUGGUUAGACAUGGUGAUGCUUUCAAUUGUGGAUCAAAUUAAGAAGUUUGCUUAUGCAAUAUACUAAUUGUCUCGUUCAACAUUGCUGACAGAAAUAUGAUAUUAGGAGAAGCAAUCUGGGUCGUUGACUGAAAUAUUUCAAUAACUUAUAACCCAAAUUACUUGCUCUAGAAAAGAGAACAAAAGCAAGUUGCACUUACAGGUACUUGACAGCUUCAAGCAUGGCAAAAGAGAUGUAUAUUUCACCAGUCAAUCCUGUGGAAGUCAAAUUUCUGCAAAAUAUUGCAUUUUACAAAACAUUAUUUGAGUACAAGUUUUAAUAAUAGCCUCAAUGAUUCCAUCAAAUGAAUUUUUUUCUCCCUCUUUUAAGUUUCUUGAACACUUACAUAUUUGUGAUCCUCGGUGGAUCAGUAUUGUAGCUACAAUUCAAGCCAUCCCAUAUGUAUGCUUUUGGAGCACAUGGAUCACCCAUCCAAUUUCUCUUAAGUUGAUAGUGUGAUUUGAUUGCCAUCAUGGCGUCAACUGGUAUCCAGGAAAAUGCAAGAAGAAUUAACACGCAUUAGUGUAUACUAGGAACAUGAUUUUUUUAAUAGAAAAUAUUCACUAACUAAAAUGCCCAUUUUAAUUUGGUAUCAGGUGUUCCCAGCCAGUAAUGAGAUAGAAAAAUAGAAUAAACAAAAUAUUUUUGAGUGAGUUGUAGAAAUUAAGAUGUUACUUAUGGUUGCAAUCACAUAUAUGACCAAGCAUCAAUGUAGAAUAAUAAUCUAUAUAUUGAUACCACAUGUGGGUGUGCUACAUAAUAUUCCCUAAUUAUUUUCAUAAGGCAGUGCUGCAAGUAAUUUGUGUCCAAUAGCAAGAUUUAGUUAUGAAUACUCCAGUAUUCCUUUUGCUUUUGGACUAGCUACAUGCCCAAGUUCAGUUUGUGGAACUUGAAUUAAACAGGGAGAUACAUUAACCAAACUACUCUCUAUUCUGAAUUCUUAUACCACGGUUCAAAUUAAUUAUCAGCAACUCAUCUUAAAAAUGAUUUAUCAGAAAUGACAGAAUUUAGUAUUUUUAUUCUAAAAGCUGUAACUAGACAUAUCAUUUCCAAGAAAAAUAACCAAACAAAUCUUGUAAAGUCAAGAUCGUGUGGAAUGAGUAAUCAGAAAUAGCUAGACUAUCCAUGUUAAGACACAUCGAGUUACAGUAAAACUGGCCACAAAAAUUUAUCUUUUGGUUCUCAGCAUGCUCUGUUCCAGAUAGCUAUGCUGUUGGAAUGAGAAUUUACCACUGCAAGUAAAGCUAUUCUUAUUUAAAUUCAAAAUAGUAUCAUUUUCAUAUUCCAACACUUGAAUGGUGCUUUGUGGUCAAACUACUACAACUUGUUUGAUCCUCAGUAGGAAUCUGUUUUGCAAAAUUUAAGGAAAAAAAGAGGAACGUGCGAUCCCUGGAAUCUUAGACUCACUGUCCAAAAUUUGGAUAAGUACGUACAGUCAACGUGAGAUAUUAGCAUAGUCACAGUUAUUUCCAUUUCAAAAAAAAAAUCCAGAUAACGUAUGUAGAAAAUUAUCCUGUCUGCUUGGCAGAUUGAAUCUUAUGAUCCACCAAUGGACCACCAUGCUUUGAAGUCUUAUUCCAAUCUGAAAUUUGCAACACAAACAAAUAUGAUAUUGAGUGCAGAGCCUGACUCACUAAAUGGUGCAAAGUAAUUGCAAAAGAAAUGAUGUGAACACAAUUAGUACCCAUCCAAUUUAGCACAAUUACAAAUAGAAAGUAUUGGAUAUGCUUUCACUCAAAGUUUGCUCAACGGGUUCCAAUUAGUAUCCAUCCGUGGGCUUGGCGAACACAAUCAGAUCAGAUCAAAAUUAGCCUAACCUAAAGUCGGGCUGCAUUAAAAGAACCCAUUCUUCCAUCUUUUCUUUCUGUUUUAUCAUUAAAUUUACAACUCUUAAAAUGUUGGAUUUCUUUGUCUUGAUUAAAGGAAAAUGUGGUUUGUUGUAGUCGUUGCGACACAAACUAUUCCCAUCUUGUCACUUAGUUGAACCCUCUAUCUAUUAGUCCGUACAAGGUAGAGUUCUAAAACAUUAAAAACUGCUGCAGAGAAGACUGGCAAUUCACAAUCGACACGCGAAAAAAUGAAAACACGGACAUCAAUUUUCCUAAUCUGACAUAUUAGCAAUGAUAAUUAUUAAUUUGGCUGCAUUCUUGAUGACAAGAAACAAAGAUAAAGCUUCGAUUACUUGAAGGUGAAGGAGAAGGCUGCAGCGCCUUACCGUCUCCGGAAUCGGUGGCGGCUUGUGUGAGCUGCAUCAACGAGUAGACCUCGAAGGCGUUGAUGAUGGGCGGGAGGGUGGAGUCGCUCGUCGCGUUCAGAACGUAUUCGUACCGAGAAGAGCCCUUAAAUGGCACAAUGUCGUGCAUGCCGCCAGCCGACCGGUAAGGCGGACUGUAUGAGAUAUACCACAAAUGCCCAUUGCGGUUGAUGUUGAACACCCUCGUCGCGUUUCCCGUCAGUUUCUGGAGUUCGGUGAAGUGCAGAAUGGUGUAAAGCUCGUCGUCGAGGGAGACGGAGUCCCAGGAGAAGGCCAGUUGCGAACCACUGACCGGAGUCACCGCCGUCUGCAUCACGGCGGACGGCGGCUCAAACAUAUUGCCGCUAUUGUUCACCGUCGAGAUGGAGGACAAGAUGGACCAGGAGGGAUCCGUCAAGGGCUUCCAAACGCGAUCGUAAGGGUCGUCCGGGAACCUGUUCAUGAUAUCUCUCAGCGUUUCUGAAAUAAAAUUGUAUCUCCUUAUUUGGGUCAAUCGGUCCAUCGCCCGUUUCACACACCAGACCUCAGAAAUCAGGUCGCUUACUAAGGGAAUCUGAGAUUGCUCCCAUGGGCUUACAGGCUUUUUUGCCCAUUAUGUGCAGACACAGCUUUCAAGGGGAAAAUAUGAGGAAAACAUACUCCAUUUAUUAAAUGGAUCGAUAGAAGGGCGAUUUCUUGCAAAAAGAUUCUCAUUUUUAUUUUUUUAAACAUUAUUUUCUUUUAUUUUUUUUUCUAAAUAGUAUUUUUAUUCAAUAAAUACCUGAAAUUUUUGCUUACAAAAGUAGAAUGUAUUUUUUUCUCUCGUUAUAAUGCUUUAACCACCACCACCACAACAACAACAACAACAAAAUCUAUUUAAAAAAAUUAUAAAUAAACCAAACAGAAUCGAAAUGUAUUAUAAAUCAUUUGAUAUUAUCAUUCAAAUAGAUAUUUAUAAUAAUUUAUGAAUAAUAUCACUUAAAAAAUAAUAAAAAAUUAACUUGUUAUAAUGUUUAGUCACCAUAAUAAAAAGACUAUAUAUAUAUGUAUAUAUAUAUAUAUAUAUAUAUAUAUAUAUAUAUAUAUAUAUUCUAACCCUUAACCUUUGGUAACUUGAUUUGGUACAUCAUCACUAAACCAAUAGUUAAGAUAAAAAUACUAUAAAACCUACUUGAAAAUAUUGUCAAUGACCCAAAUAAAUUGUUGACCUUGACCACAUCAAUUCCAAGCCCAAAAUAUAUGGUUUUGUAACAGUUUACAAUAGGUAUAAUAUGAUAUCACUUACGAUAUUUUUUAAUCUUACUUAUAGUGUUUUCAAUACCUCAAUAAAAAUAUUAUAAAUGAGUCAAAUGAAAAUUACUAUGAUAAUUCAAAAUUAGAGGAAAAUUAGCAGAAAAUUUUGAUGGAAAUAGUUGGUGAAGAGUAUUUUGAAUAUUUUUUUGAAAUAAGGAUCCUAUUUGGGAAAAUCCAAAAGAAAUGACGUUCUUUAGAAAAAAAAAAAAUUUAAGACGUCUUCUAAGAAAAAUCGCCAUUCACAGAAACAAAAUAAAGAAGUGUAUGUUUCGCUUACCUCACGGAGUCGGAUGCUCCCAUGUUGCGCCGUGUGACGAGAACCACAGACUGCGAAGCAUUUACGUAUUCCCGGUAAUCACCGUUCUCAAAUGGCCGCAACUCCAACGAAGAUAUAAAAGGAGUUCCACCCCCAGUAUUAACCAAACAAACCGAUGUGGAAUUGGCAGUAGCAAGACUCAAAGCCUCGGCCGUAUAGAUAGCAGAUGGAUCGGAGAUGUUCAUCGUCUUCCAAUGAUUGACUCCGAUGUGAAGAUCAAAUUGUAUCUGGCUAUUCUUGCCAUCGUAGUUCCCGUACAUGAAAGUUGCUCUGACAAGAUACGUACUGUUCUGAGGCACAGGCUUUAAGGUGUAGCAAUUCCGGAGUCCAUCCGGAAAGCUUCUGAGAUUGAGUUGUAGCGUUGGAACAGAGGAGUUUAUGUAGUUUGAUUGGAUGUAGAAAUCUGAUCCCACGUCGAUAAAUCGGUCAUCGGAAACGUAUGUUAAACUUGUACUAUGAUCGACGUAAUCAGAUUUGGAAUUCCCACAGUCGAUGCUUAUAAAGCC